AAUAUUGGUAAUUAGUUGAAUGUAAACUGCUUUCAUCAACUAUGAAUUCGGCACUACACUAUACAUACAUAGUCAUAUCCCUCAACGCCAUGCCAAUGAAAGUUUAAUGAAGAAAUUUGCAACAUUUUUUUGACCCAGAUAUACCUUUGCUCCUAUAAACAUAAUACAAAAUGGUUGACUAAUCAAUGUAAAGAUGUAUAGAUAUGAAAUAUGAAAAUUUCAAUAAAUUUUAAUACUCACAAAACACACACAUCAAAAAAUAUAAAGAUAUGAAAUAUGAAAUUUUCAACAAAUCUUAAUACUUACAAAACAUACGCAUCAAAAUAUUUUUUAAAAAAAAACCUAUGCCAACUGCUUUACUCAAAUCAACAAGACUAAAAUUUUUGAAAUUGUGUUAGGGUAUGGAAAAGAUUUGAACUAUAUUUUGCUGAUUAAAAUAAUAAAAUUUGCACAGGUAUGUUUAAGAAAAUAAUAUUAAUUAUGUUCAACAAAAUAAUAUGAAUUUCGAAUAGAACAAAUAAAAUAAGACAAUUAGUUGAAUAAAAUUAAAAAAGAUAUCGGUUACAUUUUAUUUUUCUCCAUGCACACAAGCAGAGGAUAUAAACCAUCAUCAUCCAUUUUAAGUUCGAUUCAAAUAAAAUACUUAUAUCAGUAUUUUUUUAAGAAGAAGAAAAACAUAAUUUUGGCGAAUUAAUUCAAAAAAAGAUCGUGAAGAAGAAGAA
rnacentral:lncRNA from 1 species